AGUUUGAUCCUGGCUCAGAACGAACGCUGGCGGCAGGCCUAACACAUGCAAGUCGAGCGAACCCUUCGGGGUUAGCGGCGGACGGGUUAGUAACGCGUGGGAAUAUACCCUUUGGUACGGAAUAGCCUCGGGAAACUGAGAGUAAUACCGUAUGUGCCCUUCGGGGGAAAGAUUUAUCGCCAAAGGAUUAGCCCGCGUUGGAUUAGAUAGUUGGUGGGGUAAUGGCCUACCAAGUCUACGAUCCAUAGCUGGUUUGAGAGGAUGAUCAGCAACACUGGGACUGAGACACGGCCCAGACUCCUACGGGAGGCAGCAGUGGGGAAUCUUAGACAAUGGGCGCAAGCCUGAUCUAGCCAUGCCGCGUGGACGAUGAAGGCCUUAGGGUUGUAAAGUCCUUUCAGAUGGGAAGAUAAUGACGGUACCAUCAGAAGAAGCCCCGGCUAACUCCGUG
rnacentral:rRNA from 1 species